rnacentral:rRNA from 1 species
AGAGUUUGAUCCUGGCUCAGAUUGAACGCUGGCGGCAUGCUUUACACAUGCAAGUCGAACGGCAGCACGGGCUUCGGCCUGGUGGCGAGUGGCGAACGGGUGAGUAAUGCGUCGGAACGCGCCGAGUAGUGGGGGAUAACGCAGCGAAAGCUGUGCUAAUACCGCAUACGUACUGAGGUAGAAAGUGGGGGACCUUCGGGCCUCACGCUAUUCGAGCGGCCGACGUCUGAUUAGCUAGUUGGUGGGGUAAAGGCUCACCAAGGCGACGAUCAGUAGCGGGUCUGAGAGGAUGAUCCGCCACACUGGGACUGAGACACGGCCCAGACUCCUACGGGAGGCAGCAGUGGGGAAUUUUGGACAAUGGGCGCAAGCCUGAUCCAGCCAUGCCACGUGUCUGAAGAAGGCCUU